AACGAACGCUGGCGGCAGGCUUAACACAUGCAAGUCGAACGCCCCGCAAGGGGAGUGGCAGACGGGUGAGUAACGCGUGGGAAUCUACCUAACCCUACGGAACAACUCCGGGAAACUGGAGCUAAUACCGUAUACGCCCUACGGGGGAAAGAUUUGUCGGGGAUGGAUGAGCCCGCGUUGGAUUAGCUAGUGGGUGGGGUAAAGGCCUACCAAGGCGACGAUCCAUAGCUGGUCUGAGAGGAUGAUCAGCCACAUUGGGACUGAGACACGGCCCAAACUCCUACGGGAGGCAGCAGUGGGGAAUAUUGGACAAUGGGCGAAAGCCUGAUCCAGCAAUGCCGCGUGAGUGAUGAAGGCCUUAGGGUUGUAAAGCUCUUUUACCAGGGAUGAUAAUGACAGUACCUGGAGAAUAAGCUCCGGCUAACUCCGUGCCAGCCGCCGCAGUAACAC
rnacentral:rRNA from 1 species